rnacentral:rRNA from 1 species
AGUGAUAAUUGCCUAGGAUACACCUGUUCUCAUGCCGAACACAGAAGUUAAGCCCUAGAACGCCGGAAGUAGUUGGGGGUUGCCCCCUGUGAGAUAAGGUAGUCGCUUAGCA